rnacentral:rRNA from 1 species
GACGAACGCGGGCGGCGUGCUAAUACAUGCAAGUCGAACGCACGAAGUUGAAGAGCUUGCUCUUUAACCAAGUGAGUGGCGGGCGGGUGAGUAACACGUGGGUAACCUGCCCAUUAGAGGGGGAUAACAUUCGGAAACGGAUGCUAAUACCGCAUAGUUUCAGGAAUCGCAUGAUUCUUGAAGGAAAGGUGGCUUCGGCUACCACUAAUGGAUGGACCCGCGGCGUAUUAGCUAGUUGGUGAGGUAAUGGCUCACCAAGGCAAUGAUACGUAGCCGACCUGAGAGGGUGAUCGGCCACACUGGGACUGAGACACGGCCCAGACUCCUACGGGAGGCAGCAGUAGGGAAUCUUCCGCAAUGGACGAAAGUCUGACGGAGCAACGCCGCGUGAGUGAAGAAGGUUUUCGGAUCGUAAAACUCUAUUGUUAAAGAAGAACAAGGAUGAGAGUAACUGCUCAUCCCCUGACGGUAUUUAACCAGAAAGCCACGGCUAACUACGUGCCAGCAGCCGCGGUAAUACGUAGGUGGCAAGCGUUGUCCGGAUUUAUUGGGCGUAAAGCGAGCGCAGGCGGUUCUUUAAGUCUGAUGUGAAAGCCCCCGGCUCAACCGGGGAGGGUCAUUGGAAACUGGAGAACUUGAGUGCAGAAGAGGAGAGUGGAAUUCCACGUGUAGCGGUGAAAUGCGUAGAUAUGUGGAGGAACACCAGUGGCGAAGGCGACUCUCUGGUCUGUAACUGACGCUGAGGCUCGAAAGCGUGGGGAGCAAACAGG